GACGAACGCUGGCGGCGUGCUUAACACAUGCAAGUCGAACGGUGAAGCCUUCGGGUGGAUCAGUGGCGAACGGGUGAGUAACACGUGAGCAAUCUGCCCUUGACUCUGGGAUAACUUCGGGAAACCGGAGCUAAUACCGGAUAUGACAUCUGGCCGCAUGGUCUGGGUGUGGAAAGAUUUAUCGGUCAAGGAUGAGCUCGCGGCCUAUCAGCUUGUUGGUGGGGAAUGGCCCGCCAAGGCGACGACGGGUAGCCGGCCUGAGAGGGCGACCGGCCACACUGGGACUGAGACACGGCCCAGACUCCUACGGGAGGCAGCAGUGGGGAAUAUUGCGCAAUGGGCGGAAGCCUGACGCAGCGACGCCGCGUGAGGGAUGAAGGCCUC
rnacentral:rRNA from 1 species